AAAGGGUGCGUAGGCGGUUUUGUAUGUCGGAUGUGAAAUCUCACUUUUCAUGGGUGGAACUGCAUUCGAAACUGCAGGGCUAGAGUACGGAAGAGGAGAGCUGAAUUCUUGGUGUAGCGGUGAAAUGCGUAGAUAUCAAGAGGAACACCGGUGGCGAAGGCGGCUCUCUGGAAUGAUACUGACGCUGAGGCACGAAACCUGGGGGAGCAAACAAGCUUAGAUACCCUGGUAGUCCCAGCCGUAAACGGUGUGCACUUGGUGUUGGUCGGUUUGUCCCGAUCUGUGCCGGAGCUAACGCGUUAAGUGCACCGCCUGGGGAGUACGGCCGCAAGGCUAAAACUCAAAGGAAUUGACGGGGGCCCGCACAAGCGGUGGAGCAUGUGGCUUAAUUCGAUGCAACGCAAAGAACCUUACCUGGGCUUGACAUGGAGACCCUUCGCGGGUGUAGGCGAAAGCCUCUUUACUCACACAGGUGCUGCAUGGCUGUCGUCAGCUGGUGCCGU
rnacentral:rRNA from 1 species